AUACGGAGGGUGCAAGCGUUACUCGGAGUCACUGGGCGUAAAGGGCGUGUAGGCGGUUUUAUCGGUCAGAUGUGAAAGCCCAGGGCUCAACCCGGGACGUGCAUUUGAAACAGUAAGACUUGAGUACUGGAGAGGAAAGUGGAAUUCCUGGUGUAGAGGUGAAAUUCGUAGAUAUCAGGAGGAACACCGGUGGCGAAGGCGACUUUCUGGACAGAUACUGACGCUGAGGCGCGAAAGCGUGGGGAGCAAAUAGGAUUAGAAACCCGAGUAGUCC
rnacentral:rRNA from 1 species